UACGUAGGGUGCGAGCGUUAAUCGGAAUUACUGGGCGUAAAGCGUGCGCAGGCGGUUUUGUAAGACAGGGGUGAAAUCCCCGGGCUUAACCUGGGAACUGCGCUUGUGACUGCAAGACUCGAGUACGGCAGAGGGGGGUAGAAUUCCACGUGUAGCAGUGAAAUGCGUAGAGAUGUGGAGGAAUACCGAUGGCGAAGGCAGCCCCCUGGGUCGAUACUGACGCUCAUGCACGAAAGCGUGGGGAGCGAACAGG
rnacentral:rRNA from 1 species